UACAGAGGGUGCAAGCGUUAAUCGGAAUUACUGGGCGUAAAGCGCGCGUAGGUGGUUAUGUAAGUUGGAUGUGAAAGCCCGGGCUUAACCUGGGAAUGGCAUUCAAACUGCAGGGCUAGAGUACGGGAGAGGGGGGUAGAAGUUCCAGGUGUAGCGGUGAAAUGCGUAGAGAUCUGGAGGAUACCGAUGGCGAAGGCAGCCCCCUGGCCUCGAGUACUGACACUGAGGUGCGAAAGCAUGGGGAGCGAAAC
rnacentral:rRNA from 1 species